ACUGCCUUAACAUAAUUAUAUAUCGAUUUUGAACACACACUUUUACCUUCUCGUAACAACAGAAAAAUAUUAAGUUAGUGAAACUUGUAUAUCUAGUGAGCAUCCUUUAGAAGCUGAGUAAAGGCGGAAUUUGCCCGGACGUGUUUUUCUGCCAGAGAAGGACUACUAGGAGCCGGAGAAACAGGAGAAUCGAGGCUAUAUAGGAUGAUGAGGUGCCACAAAUUUUGACCCAGCCAACGCCAGUAUUAUUAUUGAGGGAACGGAAGUCCUGCAAGACCUGGAUGUAUCCAGAGCCUGUGCCCUGCUAGGGCUGGUAUAUGCUCUCAACCUCAGCUACCCAAAGGAACUAAAAAAUACUUUUGAGGUGUUUCAGAAAAUAAUUCUUGAGCUGGAUGGUGUGAAAGCUAGGCCGAAGGUAAUGUCUUUAAACAAUAAACUGUUGUAUUCCUGAAA